GAUGAACGCUGGCGGCGUGCCUAAUACAUGCAAGUCGAGCGAACAGAUAAGGAGCUUGCUCCUUUGACGUUAGCGGCGGAAGGGUGAGUAACACGUGGGUAACCUACCUAUAAGACUGGGAUAACUUCGGGAAACCGGAGCUAAUACCGGAUAACAUUUGGAACCGCAUGGUUCUAAAGUGAAAGAUGGUUUUGCUAUCACUUAUAGAUGGACCCGCGCCGUAUUAGCUAGUUGGUAAGGUAACGGCUUACCAAGGCAACGAUACGUAGCCGACCUGAGAGGGUGGUCGGCCACACUGGAAAUGAGACACGGUCCAGACUCCUACGGGAGGCAGCAGUAGGGAAGCUUCCGCAAUGGGCGAAAGCCUGACGGAGCAACGCCGCGUGAGUGAUGAAGGGUUUCGGCUCGUAAAACUCUGUGAUUAGGGAAGAACAAAUGUGUAAGUAACUGUGCACGUCUUGACGGUACCUAAUCAGAAAGCCACGGCUAACUACGUG
rnacentral:rRNA from 1 species